UCCCAGGUGGUCUAGUGGUUAGGAUUCGUGGCUCUUACCCACGCGGCACGGGUCCGAUUCCCGGUCUGAGAA
rfam:Ciona savignyi cont_26569, whole genome shotgun sequence.